rnacentral:rRNA from 1 species
UACGUAGGGGGCAAGCGUUGGUCCGGAUUUAUUGGGCGUAAAGAGCGUGUAGGCGGCCAGAUAGGUCCGUUGUGAAAACUGGAGGCUUAACCUCCAGCGGUCGAUGGAAACCAUUUGGCUAGAGUCCGGAAGAGGAGAGUGGAAUUCCUGGUGUAGCGGUGAAAUGCGCAGAUAUCAGGAAGAACACCCGUGGCGAAGGCGGCUCUCUGGGACGGUACUGACGCUGAGACGCGAAAGCGUGGGGAGCGAACAGG